CCAAACCUGCACAAGCCAAGCCAAGCCAAGCCAGCGGCGGCACCUUAAGUCCUAACUAAAUCCUCUAGCUAGGCAGCCAGCCCUUCUUCGUACGUAGCUGUUUGGAACUGUAUUCAGCCACUACUCUCCACAGCGGCACCCUAAAUCCUAUAGCUCCCAUCGCAGUUCGCAAAUCUCGAAGAUCGAUCUGCUCUCGGAGGAGGAACGAACCCUUCAAAGUCCACCGGUUCUGUCUAGUAGUAAUCAUUAUGCCUGCUCGAAAACUUUCAUCCAUUGGAGCUACUUUGAUAAAGGGUCUUCUGGCAAGAGGAGGUCGAACACCUAUACCUACACCUACACGUAGAAAGGAAUGUACAAAUGUUUCUCAAGUUCGGUUGCUGGAACAGCUGGUUAGUGUUUUCUAUCUCUAGUUCUUUCUCCUUUUUUGUUGCUAGUAUUUACAAUUUUGAUGUCAAUAGGUCUUCCGGAAAAUUAGAUUA